GACGAACGCUGGCGGCGCGCUUAACACAUGCAAGUCGAACGGAAAGGCCUGCUUUCCCUUGUGGAUUGCGGGUACUCGAGUGGCGAACGGGUGAGUAACACGUGAGUUAUCUGCCCCCAACUUGGGUAUAAGCCUGGGAAACUGGGUCUAAUUCCCGAUAGUACUGCAGGGUGGUGCCUGUGGUGGAAAACGAUUUUCUAGUGGUUGGGGAUGAGCUCGCGGCCUAUCAGCUUGUUGGUGGGGUAAUGGCCUACCAAGGCGGGGACGGGUAGCCGGCCUGGGAGGGGGGACGGCGACAUUGGGACUGGGUUACGGCCCAGACUCCUACGGGAGGCAGCAGUGGGGAAUAUAGCGCAAUGGGCGGAAGCCUGAUGCAGCGACGCCGCGUGGGGGAUGACGGCCUUCGGGUUGUAAACUCCUUUCGACCGCGAGGAAGCCACCUGGUUGGAAGGGUGGUGACGGUAGUGGUAGAAGAAGCACCGGCUAACUACGUG
rnacentral:rRNA from 1 species